GAUGAACGCUGGCGGCGUGCCUAAUACAUGCAAGUCGAGCGAACAGAUGAGGAGCUUGCUCCUCUGACGUUAGCGGCGGACGGGUGAGUAACACGUGGAUAACCUACCUAUAAGACUGGGAUAACUUCGGGAAACCGGAGCUAAUACCGGAUAAUAUAUUGAACCGCAUGGUUCAAUAGUGAAAGACGGUUUUGCUGUCACUUAUAGAUGGAUCCGCGCCGCAUUAGCUAGUUGGUAAGGUAACGGCUUACCAAGGCAACGAUGCGUAGCCGACCUGAGAGGGUGAUCGGCCACACUGGAACUGAGACACGGUCCAGACUCCUACGGGAGGCAGCAGUAGGGAAUCUUCCGCAAUGGGCGAAAGCCUGACGGAGCAACGCCGCGUGAGUGAUGAAGGUCUUCGGAUCGUAAAACUCUGUCAUUAGGGAAGAACAAAUGUGUAAGUAACUAUGCACGUCUUGACGGUACCUAAUCAGAAAGCCACGGCUAACUACGUG
rnacentral:rRNA from 1 species